GUAGGUGGCAAGCGUUGUCUGGAAUUAUUGGGCGUAAAGCGCGCGCAGGUGGUUCUUUAAGUCUGAUGUGAAAGCCCCCGGCUCAACCGGGGAGGGUCAUUGGAAACUGGGGAACUUGAGUGCAGGAGAGGAAAGUGGAAUUCCACGUGUAGCGGUGAAAUGCGUAGAUAUGUGGAGGAACACCAGUGGCGAAGGCGACUUUCUGGCCUGUAACUGACACUGAGGCGCGAAAGCGUGGGGAGCAAACAGGGAUUAGAUACCCUGGUAGUCCACGCCGUAAACGAUGAGUGCUAAGUGUUGGGGGGGUUUCCCGCCCCUCAGUGCUGCAGCUAACGCAUUAAGCACUCCGCCUGGGGAGUACGGUCGCAAGACUG
rnacentral:rRNA from 1 species